GGUGCUAUCGGCAGAUCUGAGGGCCCAGUGCCUUCGAGUUUCUGGAGCCCGGUGGACACAGGAGUGCAGGAGCAGAGGACAGAGGCAUGGUGGGUGAACUCAGUGGAUGUGGCAUUGGUGCCAGAAGACAGAGAGCCGGCACCUGGGAUAGUCAUAAACACGUGGAAGGCGCUUUUCAUGUCCCAGAGUCCUUCAUUAGCAGGGACGUAUGCAUAUUUAAGGAUAUGCCGCCAACAUAUUGGAGCAGGCACCUACGUGGAGGAGCGGGGACGGUGAUGAAGGGGCAGGAAGGAGACCACGCAUGGACCAUGCAUGAACUGGACCUUCAGUGCGCUGUGUGCAGAGGAGUGUGAGGCCCCGAAAGUUUGAACCUGUGCUCAGAAAGAAAGAAGAAAAAGCAACCCGUGGAGUCGAUUCCUGCUUUAGAGCUGAGAAGGCUGAGGCCCGGUGCAGUGAGGCGGCUUGGCGGAGACGGCCUGCUGGUGCUGGCCCAGCGUUCCGGCUUGCGAUCCAGCCCUCCUCUGCCUGUGAGCAGAGGCCCCUUGAGCAGUACUGUCAGGCCCACCCGGCCAGCGCUCAGUAGUGGGUGGCCUUGGGUUAGCACCUAGCCUCUCGCUGUCCCUGGAGGGCUGGCCCUGGCCUGGGGCAUUUCUGUGCAUCCUGCCCUGCCUCUCUGGGAGCUCAGUGCCAUCACUCCCUGGUGUGUCCUACUUAACGGGAAGUGGAGCAGUUUAGAAACAACCCAGAAAGCUGAGACGGGCGUCCACGCAGCCCCAC